UUCACAUAAUUAAGAUUUCUUAAUGAUUGCGCAAAAACGUAGCAUUGCCGUCAUAGUACACUCGCAAACAUGCUUUGUUUGUUUUUAGCACAUUGGCAUUGACAUGGUGUAACGUUAAUCUGUAAGAGGUUUACAGACGGAGCACAUUUCAUCAUGGCGAGCGUUGCAUCAGCCACGGACGCACCAUCAUCUCAAGAGGAACUUGAGAAUAAUGCUAUGGCUGGCCAUGACUCUAGCUUUAAGUUACCAGAAAGGUCCUAGCUCUUCCAAGAUCCCGUGCUGAAAAGAGAAUCCAGUCUCUCAGAUCACUGUAAGCCCUGUCAAUCAAGCUUGGCUUGGCUUUGAGCAUGCUCUCUGUCUCUCUCUACCUUUCUCUGACUCAGGGGGUGAUUAAGCCUGAGUUCUUUUAAACACAGGCUAAAUCACACCAUUGCAAUGAAGUAAGCAUAGUAUUAUAGACAAAUAUCUGCAAUCAUGCCUUAGGUUGGUAGCUGCUUACAAAAAUAGAGCAUUUAUAUAGUGUAUGGAUGAGAGAAAGAGCUACAAAUAAAACAGUAUUUAAUUCUGAUCAACUGAUUCAUUGAAAUGAUUCAAAUAAAAAAAAUGAUUCAUUCACAAAUCAGGCACUGCUAUUUU
rnacentral:lncRNA from 1 species